rnacentral:lncRNA from 1 species
GGCGAGGGCCGCUGGGGAGUUGGGGUGAGAAGAGUGACCGGGCUUAGGGAAGGGAGUUCGGACUGCUAGGUUUUGUCUCUGGAAGGUGGAGGUCUGUGUGCCUGAGGAAAACCAAGGGUGCCAGAGGGGUGGUAGCUAGCUGUGAGUCCUUUGUUACUGCCCUUGGCGAGGGAAGGUGGCCCAGGGCGGUGGUGAUGCAAGAGAGCUGGGGGUCUUGGAUUCUAGAUCUUCCUGUUUCCCUGACCCACCAGCCUCCUCCAAAAGGAGUCUUGGUUGGAAGGCAGCAGAAGCCAGACCUAGAGGAGGAGCGGUUUUCCCCCUAUGGAGCAUUGCCUCUUUCCUAGGGUUGGCUAUUUUUAUCCCAGAUGUGGCUGCAGAGGGGGCUGGGGCUGGGGCAGGGCGACGGGGCAGGGCGACGUGGCUGAUGGGCCUGACCAGUUCAGACAACCCAGGCUGUGUGAGACUGGGAAGGAGAAGUGAGAAGGGGUCCCUGUUGCCAGCCAUCUCCCUCCCUCUCCCUUCCUAUGACUGCCCCCAGAGGGGAUGGGAUCUGGGGCCAAGUGCGCUUUUUCUCUCCCCAGGGUAUUAGAGGUAAAACAACUUUCCUGAUCCAAGUCCAGACUCCUGACUCCUGGCUGCCCAGCUCCUUCAUUAACUCUUCCAUAGGCUGCAGACCCAGAUCUUUGGACCUGCAGUGUUUCUUGCUCACUCCCUCCCCAGGGUCCUGGCUGGCUACUGAACCUAUGAUGCCCACCAUGCGUCCUCUUCUUUAACCUCUCCCUGCAUACCCCACCCUUCAUGACUCAUACUCUAGACUGGGUGGAGACCCUGGCUGGGGGCCCUAGAAGAGGACUUGGCAUCUCUAAAAUGUGGAUGAAGUUUUUCUUCCUGAGCCAGGCACCCUUGCCUGCUGCAGUUGGGGAGGAUCAGGGAUGAAAAGGACUUCUGCUCUUGGUAUUGCCUGGUCUGGGGUCAGGAAGGGAGUGUGUGCUAGUGAAGGGAGAAUUGGUGGCCAGAGUCUGCAAUUAUAGAGGUUGGGCAGACAGGCAAUUAGUAUCUCUUGGGGCUGACAGGCUGGUGGGUGUGCCCAUAGGCUGCAGGCAGGGGAACCAAAGAGGAGGUGGAAGGCUAACCCUUCCACCCAGACAAAAAAAGAGGAGGUUACUGACUGGCAGCUUUUUUUGGACCAGGCUGGAGAAUAGGGUUGAGGCUCUGUGAGCCUGUCUUGUAGGCCAGGCCUUAUGCCUUUUUAGGAAAAAGAAAGGACACAGGAAGGUGGAAGGAAGCAGAGACUUGUGUGACUGAUGCUCCUUGGCCUGCACUGAGCUUCAGGCUGAUUGGACUAGGCACAGAGUGGGAGAGAGCAGGGGUGACUCUCUGACAGGAUAGGAAGACCCCUCUGCUGGCCCAGAAGGGUGGCUGACCCAGAUUGAGAGGAAGCGGUUUGGGGAUUGUCUGUGCAGGAAGUGAAGGCCAUGCGUCUAAUGUGAACUCAAUGUGGAGGAGGUGAUAAUGGAAACCCCAGUAAUGGGGUGAGCUGGGGGAAUGAUGAGCAUUUUGAGAAGGGUGGAGCCUGCCCACCCUAUUUCCUGAUGCCCUGCCAGGUGCUUCCUGGCUGUGUUCCCUCCACCCCACCCUUUUGGGGAUAUUCUGCUUUCUAGUACAUGAACAACUCAUUGCCACCAGGAAUACAGUCACCACACAUUGUCAUCAGGAAUAUAGGCACACAUUGUCUGUCAGCAGGGGAGCACAUGAAGCAUCUAUGGUACCUUGAAAGCUGUGCUUUUUUUUUUUUGUACCUGUAUUAACCCAGGGGCAUUUAACCACUGAGCCACAUCCCCAGGCCUCGAUCCCCCUUUUUAAGAAAGGGAAUCCAGCAGCUUGUAAUCAUUAUUUUUUUAAAGAAGAUGGACACAAUACCUUUAUUUUACCCAUUUAUUCAUUUUUUAAGUAUGCUGAGGAUUGAAGCCAGUGCCUCACAUAUGCUAGGUAAGCGCUCUACCACUGAGCUACAACCCCAGCCUCCAAGCCCUUUUUAAUAUUUUAUUUAGAGACACGGUCUUGCUGAGUUGCUCAGGGCCUCCCUAAAUUUCUGAGGCUGGCUUUGAACUCCUGAUCAUCCUGCCUCAGCCUCCUGAGCUGCUGGGAUUCCAGGCACGUGCCACUCGCUCGCGUGAAGCUGUGCCCUUCUUACCUGGCCUAUUCUCCUAGACCCCUUUCCCACAGGCCUUGACUUCUGUAAACUCUCAGUUCUUCCCUCCUUCCAUGUUAUCCAAAGCAGAAGGGAUGGCCUCUUUUCUCAGGUACUGGACAGGGCAGAAAGACGAGAGUGUUGGUUGGGAGGGAUGGAGGGGUCAGGAUCAGUGCUGGAGAAGAGAACCUUCAGGAAGGGCCUAAUG